AAACAGAUGGGUUUGGUCCUGGCCUUUCUAUUAGCUUUUAGUAAGAUUACACAUGCAAGCACCCCUGCCCCAGUGAAAAUGCCCUCUAGAUCAUCCAGAUCAAAAGGAGCAGGUACCAAGCACGCACAAAUGCAGCUCAAAACACUUUGCUCAGCCACAACCCCAGGGGAAACAGCAGUGAUAAAUCGUUAGUAAUAAAUGAAAGUUUAAGCUAUACUGAUAUCCAGGGUUGGUCAAUUUCGUGCCAGCCACCAUGGCCAUACGAUUAACCCAAGUUAAUAGAACUUGGCAUAAAGAGUGUUUAAAGUCUGGCCUCAAUAAAGCUAAACUCCAUCUAAGUUGUAAAAAACUCCAGCUGAAAUAAAAUAUACUAUGAAAGUGGCCUUAAUACCCUGAAGACACAACAGCUAAGACCCACACUGGGAUUAGAUACCCCACUACGCUUAGCCCUAAACUCUAAUAGUUACAUUAACAAAACCAUUCGCCAGAAUACUACAAGCAACAGCUUAAAACUCAAAGGACUUGGCAGUGCUUUAUAUCCCUCUAGAGGAGCCUGUUCUAUAACUGAUAAACCCUGAUAUACCUCACCACCUCUUGCUCCCAGCCUGUAUACUGCCAUCUUCAGCAAACCCUGAAAAGGUUGUAGAAUAAGCACAAGUACACACAUAAAAACAUUAGGUCAAGGUGUAGCUCAUGAGGUGGCAAGAAAUGGGCUACAUUUUCUAUACCCAGAAAGUCUCACAACAACCUUUAUGAAAUCUAAGGGCUUAAGGAGGAUUUAGCAGUAAACUAAGAGCAGAGUGCUUGGUUGAAUAAGGCCAUGAAGCAUGCACACACCGCCCGUCACCCUCCUCAAAUAUUCUAGAAAUUACUAUUACUAAAAACUCUGUACACACAUAUAGAGGAGAUAAGUUGUAACAUGUUAAGCGUACUGGACAGCGCGCUUGGACAAACCAAAGU
rnacentral:ncRNA from 1 species